rnacentral:rRNA from 1 species
ACGAUGAAGAGUUUGAUCCUGGCUCAGGAUGAACGCUAGCGGCAGGCCUAACACAUGCAAGUCGAACGGUAACAGGAAAUAGCUUGCUAUUUUGCUGACGAGUGGCGCACGGGUGCGUAACGCGUAUACAAUCUACCUUUUGCUGAGGGAUAGCCCAGAGAAAUUUGGAUUAAUACCUCAUGGUAUUAUUGAUAGGCAUCUAUUAAUAAUUAAAGGUUACGGCAAAAGAUGAGUAUGCGUCCCAUUAGCUAGUUGGUGAAGUAACGGUUCACCAAGGCAACGAUGGGUAGGGGUCCUGAGAGGGAGAUCCCCCACACUGGUACUG